rnacentral:rRNA from 1 species
AUUGAACGCUGGCGGCAUGCCUUACACAUGCAAGUCGAACGGCAGCACGGGAGCAAUCCUGGUGGCGAGUGGCGAACGGGUGAGUAAAGUAUCGGAACGUGCCCAGUCGUGGGGGAUAACGUAGCGAAAGUUACGCUAAUACCGCAUACGAUCUAUGGAUGAAAGCGGGGGAUCGCAAGACCUCGCGCGAUUGGAGCGGCCGAUAUCAGAUUAGGUAGUUGGGGGGGUAAAGGCUCACCAAGCCGACGAUCUGUAGCUGGUCUGAGAGGACGACCGGCCACACUGGGACUGGGAAACGGCCAAGACUCCUACGGGAGGAAGCAGUGGGGAAUUUUGGACAAUGGGCGAAAGCCUGAUCCAGCCAUGCCGCGUGCAGGAUGAAGGCCUUCGGGUUGUAAACUGCUUUUGUACGGAACGAAAAGGUUUGGCCUAAUAAGCUGAGCUCAUGACGGUACCGUAAGAAUAAGCACCGGCUAACUACGUGCCAGCCGCCGCAGUAA